rfam:Canis lupus familiaris chromosome 14, whole genome shotgun sequence.
GCCUGGGUGGCUCAGUGGUUGAGUGUCUGACUUCAGCUCAGGUGGUGAUCCCAAGGUCCUGGGAUGGAGUCCUACCUCAGGCU